rnacentral:rRNA from 1 species
UACGUAGGGUGCAAGCGUUGUCCGGAUUUAUUGGGCGUAAAGAGCUCGUAGGCGGUCUGUCGCGUCGGAUGUGAAAAACCCAGGGCUCAACCCUGGGCCUGCAUUCGAUACGGGCAGACUAGAGUACGGCAGGGGAGACUGGAAUUCCUGGUGUAGCGGUGAAAUGCGCAGAUAUCAGGAGGAACACCGGUGGCGAAGGCGGGUCUCUGGGCCGUAACUGACGCUGAGGAGCGAAAGCGUGGGGGAGCGAACAGG